GGGAGGGUUCGGGAUUGUGUACAAGGGCAGCUUAAGUGAUGGGACUGUGGUAGCUGUCAAAAGAUUGAAAGACUAUAAUGCUGUUGGCGGCGAAAUUCAGUUUCAGACAGAAGUAGAAACAAUUAGUCUUGCUGUUCAUCGGAACCUCCUCCGCCUUUGGGGUUUUUGCUCAACCGAAAAUGAGCGCCUUCUAGUCUAUCCNACAAUUAGUCUUGCUGUUCAUCGGAACCUCCUCCGCCUUUGGGGUUUUUGCUCAACCGAAAAUGAGCGCCUUCUAGUCUAUCCGUUUAUGCCAAAUGGGAGUGUGGCCUCUAGAUUGAAAGGUUUGGCUCUUUGUAUAUGUGCUUUUGUUUUUUUAAUCAAUUCUCAAACCAUAUAAUGCAUGUUUGGCAGUCUGGACAGUAGUGGACAUGAUUGAAAAAUACACUAACCAAGAUUUUUAACUUCUUUUUCUUCCUUAAUAGUGUCCAAUAUUAUCCAACCUAGCAUCAUUACCAGGUCUGAUG
rnacentral:lncRNA from 1 species